CACGAAGCAUUUGAGCUAAUUUAACGCAUUUUAAGAGUUAGUAUGUUGCAUAAUACUAUGAUGACUUUAAAUUAGAAGUGAUAUUCUUUACACAUUUUGCGAUAUCUUGAUGUUACCAAUAAGUAUUUAGUACAAUUACAAUAAAUAAGCGCUUAGGUUUAUUUAAUAUAUCAAUUAUUAUGUGUUAAAGUUGUUCUGUAUAAUAAUUAACUACUUACAUAUAUUAGUAUUUUUGUACAUGGUUUAUAAAAAUUAGGUUACAAUAGUAAUAUUCUCACUAUUAUAUAAUGUUAUUAUAAGUAAUAAAUAGAUAUGUAUAAUGAACUCGGCAAUUAAUCUUUCAACUGUUUAUCAAAAACAUAGUUAUUAGAAUUUAUUAAUAAUUUGUUCUGCUCAAUGAAUAAUUAAAUAGCCGCAGUACCCUGACUGUGCAAAGGUAGCAUAAUCAUUUGGCUUAUAAUUGAAGUCUUGUAUGAAAGAAUAAAUGGGGGAUAACUGUAUCAUAAAUAUAAUAUUAAAUUAAUUAAAAAGUGCAAAUGCUUUUAUAGAAUUAAUAGACGAGAAGACCCUUGAAAUUUUUAGAAACAUGAAUUAUAGGUUUUUGUUGGGGCAACAAUAUAACAAAUAACUUAUAUUUUUUUACAUGAAAUAAAAUAGAUUGGAAAAAUUACUCUAGGGAUAACAGCGUAAUAUUUAAAUGUUUGCGACCUCGAUGUUGGAUUAGGAAACAACAACCUAG
rnacentral:rRNA from 1 species